rnacentral:piRNA from 1 species
UUCCUUAAAAUAAGAAAAUGCAGAUGAAA